rnacentral:lncRNA from 1 species
CAGAGAUCAGAAUACAAAAUCUACUAAUGGCAAACAGUACAAACAUUGAUGUCUCAAAAAUGAAAGAGAAAUUAAAAGAGUGUUUGAGUGUUCUCUUCAUGUUCUUACAAAUUAAUCGGUUUAAGGAUGUCGAACAAGAACGAUCCCAUAAAAGAAGAUCAAGAAGAAGAAGAGGAGGACGAGACUGAUCAUAAAGUUUCUGCUCUUCAGUAUUCUUUCUUUCGACAACAUAAAAUCGAUCUCUUUAUUUCUUGCCGUACAGUACUUGGCUGUUCCAAUGUUUAUGUCUGGUAUCUAUUUGCAACUUUUUUUCUUAAACUACAAUAAUAUACCCACCCCAAGCUGAAAUAUUCCUUACAGCAUAGAGAUAGGUGAUAAAAAAAUUAUUCUUCAAUCUUCUUCGUCAUCAUCUCUUCUAGGUUUCUUCAAUUUAAGGUCUUCAGAUAUCGGAGAAAAUAUCGACUCCACCCCGGCAUCCGAUACAUCAAAUCUUGGAGGCGAUGCUUUUCUCUUCAGUGGUGGUUCUGGCAGGAUUUUGUUGGGGGCUC